ACACGGUCCAAACUCCUACGGGAGGCAGCAGUGAGGAAUAUUGGUCAAUGGGCGGAAGCCUGAACCAGCCAAGUAGCGUGCAGGAGGACGGCCCUAUGGGUUGUAAACUGCUUUUAAGCGGGGAUAAAGUCAGGGACGUGUCCCUGUUUGCAGGUACCGCUUGAAUAAGGACCGGCUAAUUCCGUGCCAGCAGCCGCGGUAAUACGGAAGGUCCGGGCGUUAUCCGGAUUUAUUGGGUUUAAAGGGAGCGUAGGCGGGACUCCUAGUCAGCUGUGAAAUGCCAUGGCUCAACCAUGGAGCUGCAGUUGAAACUGGUGUUCUUGAGUUGUCGCAGGGGCGGUGGAACUCGUGGUGUAGCGGUGAAAUGCUUAUAUAUCACGAAGAACUCCGAUCGCGAAGGCAGCCGCCCGGUGGCCGACUGACGCUGAGGCUCGAAGGUGCGGGUAUCAAACAGGAUUAGAUACCCUGGUAGUCCG
rnacentral:rRNA from 1 species